UGGGGAAUAUUGCACAAUGGGCGGAAGCCUGAUGCAGCGACGCCGCGUGGGGGAUGACGGCCUUCGGGUUGUAAACCUCUUUCAGUGCGGAACAAGGCUCUUUGUGGGUUGAGGGUAUGCGCAGAAGAAGCGCCGGCUAACUACGUGCCAGCAGCCGCGGUAAUACGUAGGGCGCGAGCGUUGUCCGGAUUUAUUGGGCGUAAAGAGCUCGUAGGCGGUUUGUCGCGUCUGCUGUGAAAUCCUCUGGCUUAACUGAGGGCGUGCAGUGGGUACGGGCAGACCGGAGUGCGGUAGGGGAGACUGGAAUUCCUGGUGUAGCGGUGGAAUGCGCAGAUAUCAGGAGGAACACCGGUGGCGAAGGCGGGUCUCUGGGCCGUUACUGACGCUGAGGAGCGAAAGCAUGGGGAGCGAACAG
rnacentral:rRNA from 1 species